GACAGAGGGUGCAAACGUUGUUCGGAAUUACUGGGCGUAAAGCGCGUGUAGGCGGUUAGGUAAGUCGGGUGUGAAAUCUCGGGGCUCAACCUCGAGACGCCACCUGAUACUGCUGUGGCUAGAGUCCGGUAGGGGAGCGUGGAAUUCCUGGUGUAGCGGUGAAAUGCGCAGAUAUCAGGAGGAACACCAGCGGCGAAGGCGGCGCUCUGGGCCGGUACUGACACUGAGGAGCGAAAGCGUGGGGAUCAAACAGG
rnacentral:rRNA from 1 species